CUCCACUUGACAGUGGCGGUCGCCGGGCAGCCGAGCCCGGGCGCAGCGAGCGGAGCGCGGCGCAGGGAACGCGAUCUGCGCGGACGGCUGUGGCAGCGCCCUGCUCCCACAGCUCGGAUUCUCCGCCCAGCGAAGUAGCCUCCAGCGGCGGCGGCGGCGUCCGGGCGAUGCUGCGGGACCCCUUGGGCACCGGUGUCCUGGCCUCUUCCUAAGAACGAAGAACAAACUAAAUUCAUCUCAAAAUGAUUAUAAAUCAUCCAGACGGAGCAGCCUGCCACCCGAACUACUCAUAGGAAAUGACAUUAGAGGAAGACUUCAAAGAAACAUUAAGAACUUGGAACCCUUUCACCUGAGGCGCCCCAAAAAGAGACCGUCCAUAUUUCCAGGAAGUACAAUGGGUGGAUAAUAUAUUCGGGUUGAAGAAAUGCAAAAUAUAAGUAUGGAGCCCUGAGACUUUGACUAAAUUCUUUGAAUGAGAACAGAUAUUUUGUGGAUCUUUUUUUAUGACAAGUACCUAGCUCAUUCAUCAAUAGAAGUAAAAUCAGAUGAAUAAAAUUACAACAUUGCAAAGAAUCUUCAAGGAGCCUAACUAUGUGCCCUCUGCAAGAGACUUCUCAAUGACAUUCACAGCUUCUACUUACAUGCUUCCAUGAUGGGAAACUCACUACCCCUAAAGGAAAUUAACCCACUCAGAACAUUUAU